CACGUAGGGCGCAAGCGUUGUCCGGAAUUAUUGGGCGUAAAGAGCUCGUAGGCGGUUUGUUGCGUCGGCCGUGAAAACUCAGGGCUUAACUCUGAGCCUGCGGUCGAUACGGGCAGACUUGAGUUCGGUAGGGGAGACUGGAAUUCCUGGUGUAGCGGUGAAAUGCGCAGAUAUCAGGAGGAACACCGGUGGCGAAGGCGGGUCUCUGGGCCGAUACUGACGCUGAGGAGCGAAAGCGUGGGGAGCGAACAGG
rnacentral:rRNA from 1 species